rnacentral:rRNA from 1 species
UACGUAGGGGGCAAGCGUUGUCCGGAUUUAUUGGGAGUAAAGAGCGUGUAGGCGGCCUGGUAGGUCAGCUGUGAAAACUCGAGGCUCAACCUCGAGACGUCGGUUGAAACCACCUGGCUAGAGUCCGGAAGAGGAGAGUGGAAUUCCCGGUGUAGCGGUGAAAUGCGCAGAUAUCAGGAGGAACACCGGUGGCGAAGGCGGGUCUCUGGGCAGUAACUGACGCUGAGGAGCGAAAGCGUGGGGAGCGAACAGG